AACAGGGUGGCCGAGAAACUUAGGCAGAAGAUUGUAGUCCUUCCAACGGACCCCUAGUCCCCCUGUUA
rnacentral:tRNA from 1 species